AUGGCGGCGGGGGCGGUGGCUGCUCCGUUGCUGGCGAAGGGGAGGAGGGUGUGCAAGGAGGGGUGCCCCGGGUGCAGGCUGGACCAGAUCAACAAGACCAACACCGGCGUCCCCUACCUCAACUUCUUCUACGUCUGGGUCGUCUGCCUCUGCGCCGCACUACCGAUCCAGUCUCUGUUUCCCUACUUAUACUUCAUGAUUAGGGACUUGAAAGUCGCAAAGCAAGAAGAAGACAUUGGGUUCUAUGCUGGUUUUGUCGGGGCUGCGUAUUUCCUUGGAAGAACCACUAGUGCUGUGCCAUGGGGCAUGUUUGCUGACAAAUAUGGGAGGAAGCCUUGCAUUAUGAUUAGUAUCCUCUCAGUGAUUGUAUUUAACACACUCUUCGGCCUUAGCACCACUUACUGGAUGGCAAUUAUUACUAGGGGGCUACUUGGGUUACUCUGUGGUAUAUUAGGACCAAUCAAGGCCUAUGCUUCAGAAGUCUGCAGGAAAGAGCACCAAGCUCUAGGAAUUUCUCUUGUUACAUCUUCGCGAUCAAUAGCUCUUAUUACUGGUCCAGCCAUUGGAGGAUUUCUUGCACGACCUGCAAAGAAGUACCCAAAUCUUUUCUCUGAGGAAUCCAUAUUUGGAAGGUUUCCAUAUUUCCUCCCUUGCCUCGUCAUAUCAGCUCUAGCGGCAGCAGCGGGUGUUGCAUGCAUUUGGCUUCCGGAAACUCUGCACAUGUACCAUGAUGAGAAAAUGGAAGCUAUUGACGCAAUGGGUGCACAAGUCACCGAUUUGAACAUAGAAGAUGGGAAAGCUAACCAAUUGGGAUCCGACAGAAUGGCAUCUACGAAGAGCCUGCUAAAGAACCGUCAGUUGAUGUCAGCAAUAACCCUCUACUGUGUCUUCUCUCUUCAUGAUACAGCUUAUCUCGAGAUAUUCUCACUCUGGGCUGUGAGCAGUAGAAAAUAUCGGGGACUAAGUUUGACAUCUCAAGAUGUUGGCACCGCGCUAGCUAUCUCAGGUUUUGGUGUUUUGGUGUAUCAACUUGUGAUUUACCCACUCCUUGCCAAGUAUGCUGGGUUAAUCAAGCCAUUCCGUUUUGCAGCGGUAUUAUCUAUACUUCUGCUUACAACAUAUCCAUUCCUGAGCAACCUAUAUGGUGUGGAGCUCAAAGUACUCAUCAACAUAGCUUCACUUCUGAAGAAUAUGUUUGCGGAAAGUCUCGCAUAUUCUUUUGUUGCUUUGGCUACGAUUACUGUUGCGUGCAACAUUCUACAAAACACAGCAGUGAUACAAGAACAAAGGGGUGUUGCCAAUGGUAUCUCUGUGACUCUGAUGUCAAUAUUUAAAGCAGUAGCUCCAGCAGCAGGAGGAAUUUUGUUUUCAUGGGCUCAAAAGAACAUAACUGGAUUGUUCUUACCAGGUGAUCAUAUCUUGUUCUUCAUGCUGAACAUGGUGUCAGUAAUCGGGCUCUCGCUGACGUUCAAGCCAUUUUUCUCUAUGACGAGUGUGAUGAAAUGA
rnacentral:rRNA from 1 species